rnacentral:rRNA from 1 species
AAUGGCUUAGUGGCGCACGGGUGAGUAACACGUGAAUGACAUGCCCUGCAGAGGGGGAUAGCCCAGGGAAACUUGGAUUAAUACCCCAUGGUAUCGCAAGAUUAAACGGUGGCCGCAAGGCUGUCGCUGCAGGAUUGGUUCGCGCCCUAUCAGCUAGUUGGCGGGGUAACGGCCCACCAAGGCUACGACGGGUACCUGGUCUGAGAGGACGAUCAGGCACACUGGAACUGAGACACGGUCCAGACACCUACGGGUGGCAGCAGUCGAGAAUAAUUCACAAUGGGGGCAACCCUGAUGGUGCAACGCCGCGUGGAGGAUGAAGGUCUUCGGAUUGUAAACUCCUGUCAUCCGGGAGCAAGACCUGGGAGUGAAUAGCUCACAGGGUUGAUAGUACCGGAAGAGGAAGGGACGGCUAACUUCGUGCCAGCAGCCGCGGUAAUACGAAGGUCCCGAGCGUUGUUCGGAAUCACUGGGCGUAAAGGGAGCGUAGGCGGUGCGGUAAGUCAGAUGUGAAAUCCCGGGGCUCAACCCCGGAACUGCAUCCGAUACUGCCGUGCUAGA